GACAGAGGGUGCAAACGUUGCUCGGAAUUACUGGGCGUAAAGCGCGUGUAGGCGGACCUGCAAGUCGGACGUGAAAGCCCUGGGCUCAACCCAGGAACUGCAUCCGAAACUGCGGGCCUGGAGUGGUGGAGAGGGAAGCAGAAUUCCUGGUGUAGCGGUGGAAUGCGCAGAUAUCAGGAGGAACACCGAUGGCGAAGGCAGGUCUCUGGGCCACUACUGACGCUGAGAAGCGAAAGCAUGGGGAGCGAACAGG
rnacentral:rRNA from 1 species